GUUUGCACUUGUCGGGGAAGGGUGAGAACCUUCGAUUAAGGUUCGACUCGAGCGAAAGCGAGAGAAUGUUGCCAACGGCAACGGCCC
rnacentral:sRNA from 1 species